CAGCCGCCGCGGUAAUACCGGCGGCCCGAGUGGUGGCCGCUAUUAUUGGGCCUAAAGCGUCCGUAGCCGGGUUGGUUAGUCUCCCGGGAAAUCUGGCCGCUUAACGGUCAGAAUUCCGGGAGAUACUGCCAGCCUAGGGACCGGGAGAGGCCGAGGGUAUUCCCGGAGUAGGGGUGAAAUCCUAUAAUCCCGGGAGGACCACCUGUGGCGAAGGCGCUCGGCUGGAACGGGUCCGACGGUGAGGGACGAAGGCCAGGGGAGCAAACCGGAUUAGAUGCCCGGGUAGUCCUGGCUGUAAAGGAUGCGGGCUAGGUGUCGGGUGAGCUUCGGGCUCGCCCGGUGCCGUAGGGAAGCCGUUAAGCCCGCCGCCUGGGGAGUACGGCCGCAAGGCUGAAGCUUAAAGGAAUUGGCGGG
rnacentral:rRNA from 1 species